GAUGAACGCUGGCGGCGUGCCUAAUACAUGCAAGUCGAGCGAACAGACGAGGAGCUUGCUCCUCUUACGUUAGCGGCGGACGGGUGAGUAACACGUGGAUAACCUACCUAUAAGACUGGGAUAACUUCCGGAAACCGGAGCUAAUACCGGAUAAUAUAUUGAACCGCAUGGUUCAAUAGUGAAAGACGGUUUUGCUGUCACUUAUAGAUGGAUCCGCGCCGCAUUGGCUAGUUGGUGAGGUAACGGCUUACCAAGGCGACGAUGCGUUGCCGACCCGCAAGGGUGAUCGGCCCGUCUGGAACUGAUGCACGGUCCAGACUCCUAAGGUAGGCAGCAGUAGGGAAUCUGUCAUAUGGGGCGAAAUCCUGACGGAGCAAAGCCGGGUAAGUGAUAGAGAUCUUCGGAUCGUAAAACUCUGUUAUUAGGGAAGAAAAAAUGUGUAAGUAACUAUGCACGUCUGGACGGUACCUUAUCAGAAAGCCACGGCUAACUACGUG
rnacentral:rRNA from 1 species